rnacentral:rRNA from 1 species
CAAGAUUAAGCCAUGCAUGUAUAAGUAUAAACGACUUGAUCGUGAAACCGCGAACGGCUCAUUAUAACAGCUAUAAUUUACUUGAUCUUGACAACCUACUUGGAUAACUGUGGUAAUUCUAGAGCUAAUACAUGCACCAAAGCUCCGACCGUAAGGAAAGAGCGCAUUUAUUAGAACAAAACCAAGCGGCUUCGGCCGUUCACUGUUGACUCAGAAUAACUAAGCUGAUCGCAUGGUCUUGCACCGGCGACGUGUCUUUCAAGUAUCUGCCUUAUCAACUUUCGAUGGUAGUGUAUCUGACUACCAUGGUAGUGACGGGUAACGGAGGAUAAGGGUUCGACUCCGGAGAAGGGGCCUGAGAAAUGGCCACUACGUCUAAGGAUGGCAGCAGGCGCGCAAAUUACCCACUCUCAGAACGAGGAGGUAGUGACGAGAAAUAACAAGACCGUUCUCUUCAGAGGCCGGUCAUUGGAAUGGGUACAAUUUAAACCCUUUAACGAGUAUCUAUGAGAGGGCAAGUCUGGUGCCAGCAGCCGCGGUAAUUCCAGCUCUCAAAAUGCAUAGAACCAUUGCUGCGGUUAAAAAGCUCGUAGUUGGAUCUGUGCUGACCUCCCGGUCCACUUUCGGGUGCGCACUGGCGGGGUUGGCUUUCUGUCGUUUUUGGGCUGUUGCCCUUUACUGGGUAGCAGAUUCCGGACGGCAAGUUUACUUUGAACAAAUCAGAGUGCUUCAAACAGGCGUUUCGCUUGAAUGUUCGUGCAUGGAAUAAUAGAAGAGGAUUUCGGUUCUAUUUUAUUGGUUUUAUAGACUGAGAUAAUGGUUAACAGAGACAAACGGGGGCAUUCGUAUUGCUACGUGAGAGGUGAAU